rnacentral:rRNA from 1 species
GAUGAACGCUGGCGGCGUGCCUAAUACAUGCAAGUAGAACGCUGAAGGAGGAGCUUGCUCUUCUGGAUGAGUUGCGAACGGGUGAGUAACGCGUAGGUAACCUGCCUGGUAGCGGGGGAUAACUAUUGGAAACGAUAGCUAAUACCGCAUGACAACAGUUAUUGCAUGAUAACUGUUUAAAAGGGGCAACUGCUCCACUACCAGAUGGACCUGCGUUGUAUUAGCUAGUUGGUGAGGUAACGGCUCACCAAGGCGACGAUACAUAGCCGACCUGAGAGGGUGAUCGGCCACACUGGGACUGGGACACGGCCCAGACUCCUACGGGAGGCAGCAGUAGGGAAUCUUCGGCAAUGGACGGAAGUCUGACCGAGCAACGCCGCGUGAGUGAAGAAGGUUUUCGGAUCGUAAAGCUCCGUUGUAAGAGAAGAACGAGUGUGAGAGUGGAAAGUUCACACUGUGACGGUAUCUUACCAGAAAGGGACGGCUAACUACGUG